rnacentral:rRNA from 1 species
GUAGGGAAUAUUGGGCAAUGGUCGGAAGACUGACCCAGCCAUGCCGCGUGCAGGAAGACGGCCCUCUGGGUUGUAAACUGCUUUUAUCUGGGAAGAAAGAGGCCAUGCGUGGCAAAUUGCCGGUACCAGAUGAAUAAGCACCGGCUAACUCCGUGCCAGCAGCCGCGGUAAUACGGAGGGUGCAAGCGUUGUCCGGAUUUAUUGGGUUUAAAGGGUGCGUAGGCGGCUGAUUAAGUCAGCGGUGAAAGACUCCGGCUUAACCGGAGCAGUGCCGUUGAUACUGGUUAGCUUGAGUGUUGGAGGGGUACAUGGAAUUGAUGGUGUAGCGGUGAAAUGCAUAGAUACCAUCAGGAACACCGAUAGCGAAGGCAUUGUACUGGCCAACAACUGACGCUGAUGCACGAAAGUGUGGGGAUCGAACAGGAUUAGAUACCCGUGUAGUCC